rnacentral:rRNA from 1 species
AUGUUCCUGCUGGUAGCUCGUCCGUCUGCUGCGCUUCUGCCUGCAGGAUGGCUCGUUUUCUACCUCUGGAUGGUGGUGCACGUUACUCCUGUACCAAAAAAGUAUGGCACUCUCUGCCCCUGUCUCUCCCUGAUGAGAUCUCUCCCCUUGAUGGACUGUUCAUGUUCUUCUGAUAAGGAGCCUGACAGUCUGCUGAGGGACAAUGUUAAGCAGGCAGUUUUGCAUGGUUUACAGGAUGCCCUUGGGAAGUCAAAGAAUGAUGACAUUUCGGGAUUGAAGCUCUCAGUUAUCCGAGAGGGCGUGGCUGCAGCCCUGAAGGAAUCUUUGUCCCAGUACAACAUCUGUUUCUAUUGUGAUGAUACUGAUCCUCACAUCAGGAUAAUGAUACAAGAGGCAGUCGAAGAGGGGCUGAAAGCUUAUGGAUACCAGAUUCCCAAGAAAGAUUCUAAAAGUGGGGAAUCACCUUCUUUGAUGUCUGGCCAUGCCCAUUCCACUGGUGCUGAGUUCUCUGCCCAUGGUGCUGCCAGUUGUGAUCCUGGAUUUGGGUUGCCUGGUUCCUCCCAGCCCAAUGACCCUUCUGAUGAAGAAUUCGAUCCCCGCCUCCUAGCCUUGAUGCGCUACGUGGGUCACUGUGUGACCAAGUCUGUUGGCAUAGGCUUUGAAGAUGCGUUGAAGAGGAAGCUGCAACCUGAUUCUGGGGAACCCACCCUUAAUCAGGAUGAGGAAGCUGAUGAUGAACCUGAUGAGGAUUGGACCUUCAGUGAUGCCAGGUUUGCAAGGCAGAAUCGCAGAUUCAGAAAGUCUGAAGAGAAGAAGGAACAGAAAAGGAGAGAGCAAGAUGCUAAGUACACAAAACUGAUGAAAGAGAAGGCUGCAAGAGCUGAGGAGGCGAGAAAGGAGGACCGGCUGGAGUUUAUCAAAGAAGGCGUCUUGGGGUUACAGAAGUCUCUAGGCAAAGUUGGUGAGAGUGUCGAUGCUGGCUUUAACAAAAGCCAGCAGGCCAUUGACACUGCUUAUCAACUAGAGCUUGUGAACUCCCAGACUCUUCUUCUCUCCCUCGGUGUCUUGGAGGAUAUGUCUAAGGAUUUGGGUUACUUGAUGUUCAAAGCUGCUCAAGAGACGAAGAGGCUGGAAUCUGAAAAGCUUUGGGUAUAUGUUGGACUUGAGAAGCUCAGUCAGAAGCUGCCUUUCAAUCUUGCUGUGCACGUGAAGAGCAUCGUGAGGAACGUCAAUGAGUCGAAGGCGCUAUACCCCAUUGCGGGGUGUGCCAUUGUUCUCAGCAGGGCGCAUUUCACACCGCUGGAGUGGGUUGAGAUAGCCAAGAUCUCAAAUGACGAUUGGGUCGAGAAAUGGACCAAGAAGCUUCAGGAAGUUCAUGAGAGGAGCAAGAACAAGACUGGAUAA